rnacentral:rRNA from 1 species
UUGAACGCUGGCGGCAGGCCUAACACAUGCAAGUCGAACGGUAACAGGAAGAAGCUUGCUUCUUUGCUGACGAGUGGCGGACGGGUGAGUAAUGUCUGGGAAACUGCCUGAUGGAGGGGGAUAACUACUGGAAACGGUAGCUAAUACCGCAUAACGUCGCAAGACCAAAGAGGGGGACCUUCGGGCCUCUUGCCAUCGGAUGUGCCCAGAUGGGAUUAGCUUGUUGGUGGGGUAACGGCUCACCAAGGCGACGAUCCCUAGCUGGUCUGAGAGGAUGACCAGCCACACUGGAACUGAGACACGGUCCAGACUCCUACGGGAGGCAGCAGUGGGGAAUAUUGCACAAAGGGCGCAAGCCUGAUGCAGCCAUGCCGCGUGUAUGAAGAAGGCCUUCGGGUUGUAAAGUACUUUCAGCGGGGAGGAAGGGAGUAAAGUUAAUACCUUUGCUCAUUGACGUUACCCGCAGAAGAAGCACCGGCUAACUCCGUG